CCUACGGGAGGCAGCAGUGGGGAAUAUUGCACAAUGGGCGCAAGCCUGAUGCAGCCAUGCCGCGUGUGUGAAGAAGGCCUUCGGGUUGUAAAGCACUUUCAGCGGGGAGGAAGGCGGUAAGGUUAAUAACCUUAUCGAUUGACGUUACCCGCAGAAGAAGCACCGGCUAACUCCGUGCCAGCAGCCGCGGUAAU
rnacentral:rRNA from 1 species